rnacentral:misc_RNA from 1 species
GCCUUGAAUGCCCUUGCUGCUGGUUGCCCCUGGCCAUGCAUGCCCAUCAUAGCUGCCUUAUGGGCUCAGAAGGUAAAGCGUUGGAGUGACUACUUUGUGUUCUCUGCUUCCGGCACCGNNNNNNNNNAUAGUGAUGCUGUAGUUCAGCUACUGAGGAGUUGCUUCACUUCCACUCUUGGUUUCAGUCCCCUUCACAUUUCUAGUAAUGGAGGUGUUGGUGCCCUUCUAGGCCAUGGCUUUGGCUCUCACUU